rnacentral:rRNA from 1 species
UGGACCGACGUGCCGGCAGUAGUGUGAAUCGGAAGGGUUCGUGCUGUACUGGUAAUUACGAGGCGGCAAGGGGGCUUAGGCGGUUCUUUAAGUCUGUCGUUCAUGCCCCGGGCUCAACCUGGGAAUUGCAGUGGAUACUGGAGAGCUAGCGUGUGAUAGAGGAUUGUGGAAGUCCCGGUGUAGUGGUGAAAUGCGUAGAUAUCGGGAGGAACAUCAGUGGCGAAGGCGGCCAUCUGGAUCAACACUGACGCUGAGGCACGAAAGCGUGGGGAGCAAACAGGAUUAGAUACCCCAGUAGUC